GCACCACAAGAGCGUGGGGUAUGUGGCUUAAUUUGACUCAACGCGGAAAAGCUUAUCUGGUCCGGACACAGUGAGGAUUGACAGACAGUUAGACAGAAGUGAGGUUUUGGUAACAAUUGAGAGAGUUGAAGUUCUUCCAUGAUCUUGUGAGAGGUGGUGCAUGGCCGUUCUUAGUUCGUGUAGUGAUAUGUCUGCCUAAUCGCGUCACGAUAACCUAUUGGUCGACAACCCAAUUAUCACAACUGCAGCAUAACUCCCCUUGGGUGGGCGAGGCUCUGUGUAGGAUAGACCUCUGAACAGUACGCAACGAACGCGAUCGUAAUCCCUUGUCGAGUGGCCAUCCUGUAAGCUGCUGGAUUAGGAACCCAGUGGUAUUAUCUCAGCCACAGAUUUUCUGGUUGUAGUGGGCCAGUUUUGAAACUCGGGGAACAUCUGUGACUUUCUUUCUUAACGCAGAGGAAGGUUAUGGCAAUAACAGGUCUGUGAUGC
rnacentral:rRNA from 1 species